AUUCGUUUAUCAGUAAUCACGUCGAAACGAAAAACAAUGGCGGAACCUUGUAGCCCUGAAACAGGCAACACCGAGGGGAAAAGCCGUGAAAACAGCUCCGAUGUGGAGGCUUUGUUGCGGUGGACAAGUUUUGAAGAAGUGGAAGAUAUCAUAAGACCCUAUCUUUCUCAAGCGAUCCACAAGGCAGUGUAUGGUGGUUUUAAAAGUGCAAGAGAAGUAUAUGUUGAUUAUAGAAUCUUUAAUCAUGCUUUUACUCAAUUGGUAGAGGGAAAGGAUAAGCUUCCGCUGGGAGGCUAUGCUAUUGAGUAUUUCUUUCACUACGCACUGACAAAAAAAAAGAGAACGGAUGCUUCGUAGGUUUGCGACCAUGUUAUCUGAUGCAUUACUUAGGAGAUUGACAAACAAUGUAUCAUCAUUCAACUGUUGGAGGACAAUAAAUCUAAGCAUCAUCUUUUGGAUACUGUGAAGUUAAGUAAUUAUUGGCGCACGAACUUGAGUAUGGUGGACAAAGAUGUUAAGAGUGAGUUAAUCAGACAAAAGGAAGAAAAGAUCGUGCUUCUUGGGACUAUUCACCACAGUCAGAAUGAGUUCCAGGAUGAUAACUUAAAGGAAAGGAAAAGUUCGAGGAGCUCAAGUGUGAAAUCUCUUGCGCGUAUAAUAACAUGGAAUUGCUAGCAAAACGUGCCACUACUUGUUAUCAGACAUUGGGGGAUUUAAAGUUUGCGAGGAAAGCCUCGAUGCUGGCAAUGGCACUCCAAACAUCCUACGUGAGGAUGAGAAGGGUCUUUCAGAGGAAACGGUACGCAUGACGGAGCUAGUUGGGAAAGAGAAGGAAAAAUACGAUAAGGCACGAGAUGUUUGUGCUGCAAAUCGGAACAAGAUUGUGGCCUCUUCUGGUCUUCUUUGAUAAGAGUAUGGUUUUGCUUUGUCUUGCACUACACCUCAACUUUAUAAACUCUUCCAAGUAUAUCUUUUAAACAUAUUUGGAACAUAGGCCAGUAUGUAUUUCUUUCUGAAUUCUGCAACUCAGUACUUUCUAGAGCUGUUCCCUGCAUGAUUUGACUAGUGAGUUUUUUGGGUGUACAAAACUUCAGUUAUCUAGGGUUACACAUU